rnacentral:lncRNA from 10 species
GGGCGCCCUGCAUGGAUCCCCCACCCCAGCUCCUGCUCCCCGGCGGCGGCCGGUGGGCAGAAAGACCGAAACCCACUCACGGCCGCCUGCCGAAUCGCGGCUCUGCUGUUUGUGGGGCGUGCUAGAAACGUGGUCCUAAAAAGAAUGGCGUCCAUUUACAUAAUGCUUUGUUUGCGUUUCGCAAGUUUCUUUCGGUUAAAGCCACAGAAACCCCACCUCCUGCCCUUGUGUCGUUUCCACCGCGGCACCCUUUUCCGACAUUAGAAACAAUAGUGUACGCCUGUGGAGGCCUCGUUUGUUCAGGGGCUGCCGGCCAGGGCUUCAGGACGUUUCUGCGGCUUUCCCCGCGCGGCCUGGGCUCCCGCGGCUGCUUUUCGGGCCCAUGGGCGCAGCCACUGCGCCAGGCUCAAGGGGGGCGGCCCCGUCAGGGCCCGCCAUCUUGGAAGGCCUUUUUUGCCGGUUCUUCCCGCUGAGGAAGUGUCGCUCAAGACGCUGGCCUAUGAGUUGUGAUUUCUGCCUUUUCCCCUUCCUCCUUGGGCUAAGCCAGACCAGAAAGGGCCCCGUGCGCAACGUGCUUCACAAUCUCUCAGGGAAAGCGGCUAACGUGGCGCUACUCCGCCUCCCCUGUUCCUUACCCUUGGGGCGGCCGCCAUGUUUCCUGAACACAAAAUGGCGACACGUGGUUAGCAUUCGUCGCCAACGAGAAAUUGGGGUCGGCCCGAAAGCUCUAGAAUGCACCCCUCUUCCUCCCCGGGGCCUUCCACCUCCGCGAGUUUUAUGACUUAAAAAAGCCCACAGGCUGGUCUGAAGAGGAAGACAAACAUAAAGAUGAAGUGCUUAAUUCAAGGUCACACAAUGUCGGGGAUGGACCUCCAGAUUUCCUUACUGGAAAACAAGCUCAGGGCUCCCACUGAUUGUACAUUAUGAGACGGAGUCUUGCUAUGUUGCCCAGGCUGGUCUUGAACUCCUCACCUCAAGCGAUCCUCCCGUCUUGGCCUCCCAAGUGUCAGGAUUACGGGCAUGUGCUAUCACACCCAACCUGAUACAUUGCCUUUAUAAAUUUUUUUUUCUUUAUUCUAAAAACCAGAAAAAACAAAACUGGAUACAUGUGCAGAACAUGCAGGUGAGACGUGGUCUUGUAACACAGUGGUUAAGAAUGUGACUUUGGAGCCAGCCUGCUAGGGGCUGAAUUCUGACUCAGCCAUUUACUAACUGUGUGACCUUAGGGAGGAGGACCUGGUUGAUAGAAGAAUUUAUCUCGUAGUCUUAACAUCCACUGUAAUUCCAAACUUUGAGGACGAUAGAGAUCAGUGGGCUUUGACUGCCCAGCAUGCAGUCUCCAUUCUUAGGUGGGUUCCCAAGCCUGUAAAAUGUAAGCCUUAUGCUGCUGAGGGCCAUCUUGCCACCCUGAGGGAAACGCUGCCUGAGAAUGAAACAAGCAUAAGUAAAAGCUGAGCUGUGAGAUGGAGCAAGAUGAAGGCCACAUGACAUCUUUGGAGCACCUGGAUCUAACUGUGCCUUAAGCUAGUCUAACCCUGAACAUUUCAUCAUUUCAUUGACAUGAGCCCAGGUUUUCUUUUUUUUUGGAUGGAGUCUUGCUCUGUCGCCCAGGCUGGAGUGCAGUAGCUCAAUCUCGGCUCACUGCAAGCUCCACCUCCCGGGUUCACGCCAUUCUCCUGCCUUAGCCUCCCAAGUAGCUGGGACAACAGGCGCCCACCACCACUCCCAGCUAAUUUUUUGUAUUUUUAGUAGAGACGGGGUUUUACCAUGUUAGCCGGGAUGGUCUUGAUCUCCUGACCUCAUGAUCCGCCCGCCUCGGCCUCCCAAAGUGCUGGGAUUACAGGUGUGAGCCACUGCACCCAGCCCUCAGGUUUUCCCUUUUUUUACCCCUCCUUUUGAAAAUUUGAUGUGGAAUUUUGCCACCUGCAGCCAGAAGAGUUUUAACUAAUCAGUGCCAUAAAUUUUAUAUAGUUCUCCUUGCAAAAUGUGGAUCAGCCUUUCUCAGCAAAUCCUUUGUCAUAAAGUGCUGAAUUGUAAGUUUGUCAUGAGAAUCACAUGAGAUCAUGCAUGUGAAGAACCUGGCAUUAUCCUCCUCAUAGAAAAAAACCAGUAAAUAUUAACUACAGGAAGCAAGGAAGGAGUGGGGUGAGGGGAAGAAGAAGGGGUACUGAUUUAAAAGAACCCUGGAGUCCUAAGGAUAAUCUAGGAACCCUCAGACCCAAUCCGAUACCCCUAUUCUAAAUGCUCCUAGUGCCCUGUACCUUCCCCUCAUAAGCCUUCAUUAUCAUUGUAAUGAUAUGUUUAUGUAAUAUUUUGAUUAAUGUCUCUCCUUCACUGACCUAGCAGUUCUAGCAGGGCAGUGAUUUUGCUGUGUUGCAUCCCCAGCACCUAGUCUGGUAUGUGGCAUUCAGCAUAUGUUUAUUGAAUGAAUGGCCAUGUGGUUAUUCAGAUCCUCCUUGAUUAUUGGGGUUAGGAUUGUGGCAGAAGUGGCAAAAUCAGGGAGAGUAGUCCCUGUCCCCUCUGUAUCUUAUACACUGCCCACACUCCCAACACACAUACACAUACAGAGAAUUUUGUCUCAAUUAGAUAAUUAACUUCUGCUUGGUUGUAAACCAAACCACUGGUUCUUAAACUUUCAUUGGAUCAUUUUAUUGAAGAAUUAAAUAGUGUGGUUCUGGCCUAAUGUCUGGAAAGCCUUGCAGAGGAGUGGAUUAGGUCUUUGUGAUAAACAGGCAGCCUUCCCUGCUCCUGUGUCUUUAUAAAAUCUAUUUAACUGGAGUAGUCCACCCUCCCUCAGGCUCUUACAGGAAUAUGUUGGAGGCUGUAGGAAGGUGGGAAACCGAGAGGGAAAGGACUGGGCCGCUGGAGACUUCACUCAUUCCCUAGCAAGAAACAAAAGCAGUAAAAGGUGGCCCGAGGACAACCUGAAGCUCACUCCUUCAGCACUUUUGGCUGGAGGUCACUUGUUGGAGCCCCACUCAGAGCUCAGCACACCACCCCACCAGCAGCCUCCUCCUCCCAGCUGAGGCUGCAUUUCAUCCCUUCCCCCAGCCUGCUUUCCCUGAGAUAGGGGAGUGUUUCCCAGGGCCCAUGUGACUUCCACUGGCAAGUGACGAUUACCAAUGGUUUACUAGUCAGUGAAACUACCAAAGGCUUUUGUGCUGUAGUAAUCCUUUUCCUGUUUAAAACUCUGGGGAUUUUCUAAUGUUGCCAAUAGUUUUUCAAGUCAGCAAUUACUGUGUGGAUUAUGUAAUGGCUCGGUAUUAAAAAUAGAAAAGACUGGAGUUUGCAUCUAUUUUAACCAAAUCUUGAAAACAGAGCAAAGGGAGGGGAAGGGUGGAGAGGGAGAGACCAGAGGAGGAGGGAGAAAAAGAGAUCAUGUGACUGGAUAAGACAGCUCACAAUUCACUGUGCCUUUCUCCCACCAUUUGUGGCCCAAGGACCUGUACUCCCUCCUCAGCCUCCUCUAGGGAGGGGUCCUUGAUGAGAAUUCUGAGGACACAAGACCCCUUGUGGAUAUUUCUUAGCUCAGCCUUGGUGUGCUUACCUGCUUCUGACAAGCAAAGUGGCCAAGUAGGGGAGGGAGUUGAAUCUGAUGUCCUCCACUAAGUCCAG